ACAACUGAUAGGUAGUGAUCAAAGUCAAUCUUAAAGACAGGACUUACCAUGUUUUUGGUACUACUUUCUCUUUGACAUUUUCUCUGUGGAUACUCUUUGACCUUGGAACUAUUUUAUUUUUGAAUUGGCGUCAUGAGUAUUUCAAAUGACUAGCUAAUCAUCACCAUUCGAAACCAAGGAAAACGGUAAAAUGAUUCUAAAAUAAUGAUUAUUAUGAGCGUGGGAUUUUUUGAACCUUAUGCAUUUGAGUGACAUCAUGGAGAUAAUCCACAUUGGAAACCACUCUGACUGCAGGGCAAUGCAAGUCAAAUGACACUGUAGCCACAUUCAAGCCAUUCUAACCAGCUAUUUUAUCAUCAAACCACACCCAUCUCACCUGUUCAAGUCUCUUCCACUCUUUCCCUCUCAUUCUGUCUCUUUUCCAUCUCUGUCUAUUCCUCACUUAACAACUCACUCAACUGUGUUUACAUCUAUUAGUGCACUUUGGAUCCAAACAGAAUAAAAUGGGCUGCUUCACAUUUGUCAAAGUUGUGAUGGUUUUGUUCAACUUGCUUAUCUGCCUGGCAGGCAUGUGUAUGGCAUCUGUAGGGAUAUGGGUGACUUUGAAUACAGAUGCCUUCAUGGAAGUUUUGCCACCCUUUACUGAUGAGUUCCUGAGUCAUGUCAAUGUGGGAAUCUUCAGCAUCACUAUUGGAGCAGUUAUGACUCUACUCGGAAUGCUUGGGUGCUGCGGAGCUCAGAAAGAGAGCAAAUGCCUUCUCAUAAUGUUCUUCUCCAUCAUCCUGAUCAUUUGCAUUGCUGAGGCGGCAGCUGCAAUAGUAUCACUGGUUUAUUCUUCAUAU